AUUAUGAUCUAACGGAUUCCGUACAUGUAUUUGUAAAUUACAUUACCAAAUUGGGGAAUGUGAAAAUAAGAUAAUGUGUUUGGAUUUUUGUUAUUGUUGUACAUUGACGGCAGUGAUUCUUUGUGGGUUUGUUUUUGAUUAUUGUUGUACAUUGACGGCAGUGAUUCUUUUUGGGUUUGUUUUUGGUUUUUUGUUAUUGUUACAUUGACGGCAGUGAUUCUUUUUUGGUUUGUUGUUGUUGGUUGUUUGUUAUUGUUGUACAUUGACGGCAGUGAUUCUUUAUUGGUUUGUUGUUGUUGGGUUUUUGUUAUUGUUGUACAUUGACGCCAGUGAUUCUUUUUUGGGGGUGGGUGGGUUGGGUUGUUUUUUAUUAUUGUUGUACAUUGACGGCAGCGAUUCUUCUGACGUGUUGACACUGCUGAUUUUGCCAAGAUCCUGAUACGGGAACCCAACAUUUUUAUCAAAUAGAGAUUAAUGUUUAUAACUUGUGUCAAUCAGUAUCAAAAGACUCCUUAUUAAGUUUUGCCUGUAGGUUGUAGUAACCUUCUUUUAAAAUGUCCUACUUUCCGCUAAUAAACCUACAUGUAAUGCGCAUCCAUGAGCUCCGAAGCGGACCUUUACUUAUAGGUAGAAUUAAACGAUGUGCCCCAUUACAAAAGAGUCAUCAUUUUACUUUGAAUAUCAUAUCCUUCUGAUGAUCUAGAAUUAUACUAGUUCAUUUCCGGCUUUGAAAUUAUACUAGUUCAUUUCCGGCUUUGAAACAUCUCUGUUUCCCCUUCUGGAUGUCAAGGCAAGAUUACAGAAUUUUCUCAUUUUUAAAUCUAAUUCAAAUAGUUGGCUAAUGUAAUGUUUAGAUUUGGUGUCAAUGAAAUGAUUAAUUGAAUUGAAUAUCGAUAUCCUCUUGCCACUGGUUGUAGAAUUGAUAACUGUAUUAUACGGUAUUGUACGGAGAAACACUCCGCUAUCGACAGUGUAAAACAACGUAACAAUUCGAUGUCACAUCUACUGUACAAGUACUGAAUGCUUCAUCUGAUAAUAUAGGUACAGGUAGUUUCUUUUAAAUAUGAAUAUAAUUUCAUUUCUUUAUCCCAUUACGUUUAAUUAAAGUUAAAUGAUUUCAAACAAAUGGCAUCGCUUUCAUCUUCAUAACAAAAACGUACAUACACCACCAAUAAUAAACCUUUUUUAUGACUUUGAUAUCCUGACAAAAAUAAGAUUUUCUUUUUAUAUCAAUUUAUUUCAUAAUAAAUAAAUAAUAUGUACAUGCUUAAAACAAAUCAUAAUUUCUCACAACCACUCAGCAAAUAUUUGUCCACAUUAGCAUUCCACAAAACAGUAUCUCACUGAUGGCGGCAAAAUCACAGGAGACUCCGAAAUUAAAGCCCUUGGGUCAUGUGACGGAAGCACUGUGUCUUUCGGAACUUCGAUUCUAAAUUUUUGCACAAGACUUGUGGUAUAGAGAAACAUCCUGUUUCUAGCCAUCUGUUGCCCAACACAGUAUCGUUUUCCUACGCCAAAUCCUAUG